ensembl:lncRNA
GUUUGCACCGUUAUUAACAUUUAGCUACACAAAACAAUUUUGUGUUUUUUUUAACAUGGACUCCCAUGAGGUCGCCAAAGUGAGGAAUAUUUUCCUUCUCUCCUCUGCAGGACAUUUUUGGCCUGUGAAACAUCUGGGGGGUGUCCAGCUGCUUCAGUGGUGGAGAAGUCUGAAGUUGCAGUUCAUAGACAGCAUGAGGAGAGCAAUGCACUGGAUUAGGUACCAUGUUGGAACAAGCAUGAAAUGAAUGUGCAAACACACAGCUUUUCUUACCAUGAAUAUGCAUGAAGCUCUGGAGCUGAAGAGCUCAGCUAAUUCAACAAAGUCAGCUUGGCAAUUCCAUUCUCUCAGUUUGACAUAUCUCCACCAUGAAAUGGACUAAGAUUGCCAUGAAACUGAAAGCUGUGAGUGUGAAAAUUGGGGAAUGCAUAGACAAAUUCUUCUUUCCUUUUUAAACAUAUGCCAGUGAAUAGGUUCUCUUUUUUUUUUUUUUCUCACUGGUUUUCUUUAUUUCUUGGUAAAUAUUACUACAAAUCUGGACUAGAAAGCCCGAAGCAAAUUUCUUUAGAGGAAUUCCAUUAGAGCUGCAGAAUACCAGACACAAAAAAACCAGGUGCAGACUUGGGGUAGAAAUUGUACGCUGAGACUGAAAAUUGCCAGCAAGGUCAGGUCAUUUUUCUUCCUAAGUUUUGCCAAUGUGAAAAUGAGAGAUCACUGCAGAACACUGAAAAAGCCAGGAAGCAGCUACAAAAGUAUUGAUUCUAACAUAACUGUUUGGCCACCAUGGUUUAUAACUGGACAGAGUAACUUCUAAUACGGGUAAGAAUGAUUCUUAGAUAACUGUGGAGACCUAAAUCCCUCCUUGCUUGAGCAAGCAAUCCCAAGCAUGAUGGGCAAGUUUUAAUGGGAAAGUAAGGAGCAUUUAGUGAUGAGUUUCCACAGGUCGCACAAAGGAAAAAACACUUGUAAAACGAUGUGCCAGUUCCUACAUGUCUGCUUCUUUAAAAAACAACUAGACAUUAAAUAUAGCAUACUAACCACGUAGAAUGUGCCAAGAAACAGAAAUGCUGAACAUUGUGGAGCCUAGUGUUAUUUUAUCUCUCACUCAGGUUCCUAACUCUUAGC